rnacentral:rRNA from 1 species
UACGUAGGUGGCGAGCGUUGUCCGGAUUUACUGGGCGUAAAGAGCGCGCAGGCGGUCGUGCAAGUCGCGUGUGAAAGCCCCCCGGCUCAACUGAGGAAGUGCGCCCCGAAACUGCAGAGCUUGAGUGCCGGAGAGGGUGGCGGAAUUCCCCAAGUAGAGGUGAAAUUCGUAGAUAUGGGGAGGAACACCGGUGGCGAAGGCGGCCACCUGGACGGUAACUGACGCUGAGACGCGAAAGCGUGGGGAGCAAACAGG